rnacentral:tRNA from 1 species
GCUUCGAAAGCUGCUCUGGUGAAAGCGCCCGGUUGAAGCCUGGGAGAGGCUGGUUCGAUUCCAGCUCGAAGCA